UCUCUGGUGUCCAGUGGUUAAGACUCUACACUCUUAAUGUAGGGGGCCCAGGUUCGAUCCCUGGUCAGGGAA